GAUGAAGAACGUAGCGAAAUGCGAUAAGUAAUGUGAAUUGCAGAAUUCAGUGAAUCAUCGAAUCUUUGAACGCACAUUGCGCCCCUUGGUAUUCCGAGGGGCAUGCCUGUUCGAGCGUCAUUAUAACCCCUCAAGCUCAGCUUGGUGUUGGGGCCUGCUGCACUGGCAGCCCUUAAAAUCAGUGGCGGCGCCAUCUGGCUCUAAGCGUAGUAAUUCUUCUCGCUAUGGAGUCCUGGUGGAUGCUUGCCAUCAACCCCCAAUGUUUCUAUGGUUGACCUCGGAUCAGGUAGGGAUACCCGCUGAACUUAAGCAUAUCAAUAAGCGGAGGA
rnacentral:misc_RNA from 1 species